ACGAAGGGGGCUAGCGUUGUUCGGAAUCACUGGGCGUAAAGCGCACGUAGGCGGAUUCUUAAGUCAGGGGUGAAAUCCCGAGGCUCAACCUCGGAACUGCCUUUGAUACUGGGAAUCUUGAGUAUGGCAGAGGUUGGUGGAACAGCAAGUGUAGAGGUGAAAUUCGUAGAUAUUUGCUAGAACACCAGUGGCGAAGGCGGCCAACUGGGCCAUAACUGACGCUGAGGUGCGAAAGCGUGGGGAGCAAACAGGA
rnacentral:rRNA from 1 species